rnacentral:pre_miRNA from 1 species
AGAUAAAUCAUCUGGGGAUCUUGUUACAAUGCAGAUUUGGAUUCAUUAGGCAUGGGGUGGGGCAAAGAGUCUGCAUUUCUAACAAGCUUCUAGGUGAUGCCAAG